rnacentral:rRNA from 1 species
UAUUUACUGUAAAGGAGUAGUUAUUUUAAAGUGUUGAAUAGUUUUACCUUUUGUUUCAGGGUGGUUUGAAUAUUGUUUUACUUUUUUCUCGAGAGCUAUUGAUAGUGUAUUAUUUUAUUAGUUUGUGUCAAAACAUAGUUAUUUAUUCUAAGAGGUGAGAGUCUUUCGAUUUAGCUAAUAUCUAGAUUUAGUUAAAAAGAGUGAUAGAGGAGCUGUCACUGUAUUUUAGAAAAAAAACAAUUAAAUAACCUAGGCUUUAAAGUAGCUAUGUUAGUAAGGUGUUUUUACCAAAAAAGGUGCGAAUUUUCUGAAAUAAGUUUUUUUAAUAAAUUAUAAUUUAUGAUUUAUGAAUUAAUUAGUAGUAAGUUUAGUUAAAAAUUAAGAAACUAAGGUUUGCAAGGGAUGUUUAACAAAAACAUUUCUCUAUAUUUAUAGAGUACAGCCUGCCCAGUGCUUUGUAAACGGCUGCGGUAUACUAACUGUGCUAAGGUAGCAUAAUAAUUUGUGUUUUAAAUGGGUACUGGUAUAAAUGGCUUCACAUUGUUAAUUUUUCUUUUUUUUAAAAAAUGAAUUUAGAGUAAAAGUAAAAAUACUUUUAUGUACUAAAAAGACGAUAAGACCCUAAAAGCUUUAUAUUAAAGCCUAAUUAUUUUUAUAUAAUAUGGUUAUUGAUUUUUAACUGGGGUAGUUUUGUUUUUCUUAAACUAAUUAAAGACUAGUAAGGAUGUAUGACCCUUUAAUAAAGGUUUUGUUUAAGUUACUUUAGGGAUAACAGCGUUAUAAAAUUAAAGAGACCUUAUCUCCAAUUUUGAUUGCGACCUCGAUGUUGAAUUAAUAAAUCCAAGAGGGGUAGUCCCCUCAGAGGAAGGUUUGUUCAACCUUUAAUUUGUUACAUGAUUUGAGUUCAAACCGGUUUAAGCCAGGUUGGUUUCUAUCUUUUAGUGCCAAGAUUCUAUUUUAGUACGAAAGGACCAGAUAGAAUUUUU